rnacentral:rRNA from 1 species
UACGGAGGAUGCAAGCGUUAUCCGGAAUGAUUGGGCGUAAAGCGUCUGUAGGUGGUUUUAUAAGUCUACUGUCAAAGACCAGGGCUUAACCUUGGGCAGGCAGUGGAAACUAUAAGGCUUGAGUACGGUAGGGGCAGAGGGAAUUCCCGGUGUAGCGGUGAAAUGCGUAGAGAUCGGGAAGAACACCAACGGCGAAAGCACUCUGCUGGGCCGAAACUGACACUGAGAGACGAAAGCUAGGGGAGCAAAUGGG